rnacentral:lncRNA from 1 species
UCCUAUUCGGCCAUCUUGGCUCCUCCCUCCAUCGGUAAACCAACUCUUUAACAAAGGGGAGCUGAGGCUCUGUGGCUGGAACCUGGGACUUAGGCCUGAAUUAAUCAGAGCAAUGCACUCCACUGGCCCUGUGUGGGUGAGCACAUGGAUGGCAUGCUGAUCACAUUUCCAGGCCACCAUGAGGCAGAAGUAGAGCUAAUAGACUGGAUGAAAGAAGAAUGAGCCAGAGCAAUGCCGACAGUCUGCAAAGCCAGGUCAAGUUAGGCAACCUGGAGCAUAACAGAGAAAUGCAAAGUCCAGCCCUUGGGUCCAGACAAGUUACACAACGAUGGCAGAUGUUCUUGAUGAAUGGAUAAUGUUGUCUUUAGAUGUUCUCAACCAUCCUGGGCACGUGAAAACCCACCCGAUGGCUCUCAUCAAGUGGAAAAGAAGAAGGGGAAAUCCGAGCAAAAAGAUAUUACAGACUCGUCUUCCUGAGACACGUGCACCUGCUAAGGGAGUAGCAUUAAGGAAAUCUACAAAGUCAGCCUCUGAUUAUCAAGGUUCUUCCUUAAGGAGAAAAGGAAAAAAGCAAAAGCAAAAUAACACAUUUACUUCAAAGAACUCCUGUCUGAUUGAGCGAAGGAAAAGUAGCCUCAUUGCUUUGAUCCUUUCACUGAGCAAAACAACAUGAAAAGCGAAGACAAGGCUCAAAAUAUGGGCUUUUGUUGAGCGCAUCAUUAGGAGUGUUUAUUGGCUGCUGCAAACACACAUCCCAGCUCCAGAGCACGCGCAUGAAGUGGAGAUUCGUGGAGCCCUCGAGCCAGUUCUUUGGUUUUCAGGGCCUCUGCUCCUGUGGUCACCUGAGGACUGACUCAAGCUGAUGGAAGCCUUGACAUGUGCUCCCACCAUCUCCCUGGCAAGUGAAGAAGGUGUGAUGACUCAUGGCUUGGCUCUCUAAAGUUCAACCUUCUAUACACAAACCAUCGGUCACAGACAGUUAUCAGUUAUAUGGCCACCCUAAUUUCAAAAGAGAGAAGUACAAUCCCACCAUGUGCUCACAGAGGGGAGAACUAGGGGAAGUCAUAGAUUUGAAGCCCUUGGAGGGAUUUGGCAUGCCACUGCUGGCUCAAAGAUGGAGGCAGCCACAUGUCAAGGAGUGUGGGCAUCCUUCAGGAGCUGCGAGUAGCCCCACCUGACAGCCAGCAAGGAAACAGUGACCUCAGACCUGCAGCUGCAAUCAG